GUAGGGGUGCAAGCGUUAAUCGGAAUUACUGGGCGUAAAGCGUGCGCAGGGCGGUUUUGUAAGUCUGUCGUGAAAGCCCCGGGGCUCAACCUGGGAAUUGCGAUGGAGACUGCAAGGCUUGAAUCUGGCAGAGGGGGGUAGAAUUCCACGUGUAGCAGUGAAAUGCGUAGAGAUGUGGAGGAACACCGAUGGCGAAGGCAGCCCCCUGGGUCAAGAUUGACGCUCAUGCACGAAAGCGUGGGGAGCAAACAGGAUUAGAUACCCUGGUAGUCCACGCCCUAAACGAUGUCUACUAGUUGUCGGGUUUUAAUUAACUUGGUAACGCAGCUAACGCGUGAAGUAGACCGCCUGGGGAGUACGGUCGCAAGAUUA
rnacentral:rRNA from 1 species